rnacentral:rRNA from 1 species
GAUGAACGCUAGCGGCAGGCCUAAUACAUGCCAGUCGGACGGGAUUCAGGAGCUUGCUUCUGCUGAGAGUGGCGCACGGGUGCGUAACACGUAUGUAACCUACCUUUAUCAGGGGGAUAGCCUCUCGAAAGAGAGAUUAAGCCCGCAUAAAAUCACAGCACAGCAUUGUGUAAUGAUCAAAUAUUUAUAGGAUAAAGAUGGGCAUGCGGAACAUUAGCUAGAUGGCGGGGUAACGGCCCACCAUGGCGACGAUGUUUAGGGGAUCUGAGAGGAUGGCCCCCCACACGGGUACUGAGACACGGACCAGACUCCUACGGGAGGCAGCAGUAAGGAAUAUUGGGCAAGGGGCGGAAGCCUGAACCAGCCAUGCCGCGUGCAGGAAGACGGCCCUACGGGUGGUAAACUGCUUUUAUACGGGAAUAAACCCAGAUACGUGUAUCUGGCUGAAUGUACUGUAAGAAUAAGGAUCGGCUAACUCCGUG